UUUUUUAUGUAGUUUUAUGUCUUACUUGAGGUUUCUUGUAACAUUUUCGGUCCCUGUACCAAGUAAAUGACUACUUUUGGUCUCAAAAAUUUAGUCAUUUUAAUUGGAACAUAAACUAAAAACCUCAAAAUAAGGACCAAAACUACAAAAGAAAACAUGUUGGGACUAGAAUUGAAAAAAAAAUCAGCUAUACAUAAGAACCAAAAUGUAAUUUAUAUACUUCAUUUUAUACAAACAACACUUAAUAUUAAUUGUGAAUUGGUAAUCUUGAACUCAUUUACAGGAGUUGUAAUGGCCUUGACCGGAUUUGUACUCAUGAUGCUUGUAGUGUGUAAUGGCACAAACAAUCAAACUAAUUUGGUCAGUUUCAGAAGUGGGAAUACUAUUGUUGCUGAGCUACAUGGUGAAGUUGGGUGGCCAGCAUCUUCUAGCUAUGGUGAACCAAAAUACACUCAAGGAGAAAACAUCUAGUGGUAUGCAGGGUGUAAACAACGAAUGGUGCACACUUCUUCACCUUCUUGGCUGUUGUCUUCUUUCACAAGCAUAUCUUCAAUCAUCAUGGGGUUCUACUGAAAAGAAAGUUAAUGAAGCCAUUUCUUGCUUUUUUUAGGUUAAUUCGUUUGGAAUCUAACACAGCUGGAAGAAGGCCGUGGAUACUUUCAUUUGGACUUGGUUAUACAAAUAGGUUAUAUAGUUAGGGAAAACCUCUUAAUAGCAAUGUACAAUUAGGUCCCCUAAAUACCAAUGUAUUACAAUGUAUUGUAUUUUUGUAUGACAUUAAAUUUUAUGUAAUGGAUUAUAUUUUUUGUAUAUGAUAUAUUAUUUUCUAUUAUUGGACAUUAAAUGCAAAUUUAAUUUGAAAAUUAGUAAAUCCAUAAAUAAUUUUUUUUUAACAUUUAAAAUUAUGAUACGCAAAAAUGUGUGUCAUCUUUAUUUAUGACAUGGCCUUUCUUGACAUGGGCUUUCUUGAUACGCAUUGCGUGUCAUAAACACGCGCGUCGUAAGGUUACGACACGC